rnacentral:rRNA from 1 species
AGCACGGGGGAUGCUCAGUACGGCGAGUGAAGCGGCAAGAGCUCAAAUUUGAAAGCUGGCCCCUUCGGGGUCCGCGUUGUAAUUUGCAGAGGAUGCUUCGGGUGCAGCCCCCGUCUAAGUGCCCUGGAACGGGCCGUCAUAGAGGGUGAGAAUCCCGUCUGGGACGGGGUGUCUGCGUCCGUGUGAAGCUCCUUCGACGAGUCGAGUUGUUUGGGAAUGCAGCUCUAAAUGGGUGGUAAAUUUCAUCUAAAGCUAAAUACUGGCCGGAGACCGAUAGCGCACAAGUAGAGUGAUCGAAAGAUGAAAAGCACUUUGAAAAGAGAGUUAAACAGCACGUGAAAUUGUUGAAAGGGAAGCGUUUGCGACCAGACUCGCCCGCGGGGUUCAGCCGGCAUUCGUGCCGGUGUACUUCCCCGUGGGCGGGCCAGCGUCGGUUUGGGCGGCCGGUCAAAGGCCCUCGGAAUGUAUCACCUCUCGGGGUGUCUUAUAGCCGAGGGUGCAAUGCGGCCUGCCUGGACCGAGGAACGCGCUUCGGCUCGGACGCUGGCGUAAUGGUCGUAAAUGACCCGUCUUGAAACCGGGACCCAAA